UACGGGGGGGGUAAGCGUUGUUCGGAAUUACUGGGCGUAAAGGGCUCGUAGGCGGCCAACUAAGUCGGACGUGAAAUCCCUCAGCUUAACUGGGGAACUGCGUCCGAUACUGGAUGGCUUGGGUUCGGGAGAGGGAUGCGGAAUUCCAGGUGUAGCGGUGAAAUGCGUAGAUAUCAGGAGGAACACCGGUGGCGAAGGCGGGUCUCUGGGCCGAUACUGACGCUGAGGAGCGAAAGCGUGGGGAGCGAACAGG
rnacentral:rRNA from 1 species